GAUGAAGAACGUAGCGAAAUGCGAUACUUGGUGUGAAUUGCAGAAUCCCGUGAACCAUCGAGUCUUUGAACGCAAGUUGCGCCCGAAGCCAUUAGGCCGAGGGCACGCCUGCCUGGGCGUCACACGUCGUUGCCCCCCCAUCUACUCCUUCGGGAUUGCGGGGGCGGAUGAUGGCCUCCCGUGCGCCUAGUCGCGCGGUUGGCAUAAUAGCCAAGUCCUCGGCGACGCACGCCACGACAAUCGGUGGUUGCGAAACCUCGGUUGCCCGUCGUGUGCGGUCGUCGCGCAUCGAGGGCUCGAAAAAAUUGCCGGGCUCCGGCUCGGCUUUCAACGCGACCCCAGGUCAGGCGGGGUUACCCGCUGAAUUUAAGCAUAUCAAUAAGCGGAGGA
rnacentral:misc_RNA from 1 species